GACGUAGGGCGCGAGCGUUGUCCGGAUUUAUUGGGCGUAAAGAGCUCGUAGGCGGCUCGUUGCGUCGGCUGUGAAAACCCGCAGCUCAACUGUGGGCUUGCAGCUGAUACGGGCGGGCUUGGAUUCGGUAGGGGAGACUGGAAUUCCUGGUGUAGCGGUGAAGUGCGCAGAUAUCAGGAGGAACACCGGUGGCGAAGGCGGGUCUCUGGGCCGAUAUCGACGCUGAGGAGCGAAAGCGUGGGGAGCGAACAGG
rnacentral:rRNA from 1 species